rnacentral:rRNA from 1 species
UACGGGGGGGGCAAGCGUUGUUCGGAAUUACUGGACGUAAAGGGCUCGUAGGCGGCCAACUAAGUCAGACGUGAAAUCCCUCGGCUUAACCGGGGAACUGCGUCUGAUACUGGAUGGCUUGAAUCCGGGAGAGGGAUGCGGAAUUCCAGGUGUAGCGGUGAAAUGCGUAGAUAUCUGGAGGAACACCGGUGGCGAAGGCGGCAUCCUGGACCGGCAUUGACGCUGAGGAGCGAAAGCCAGGGGAGCAAACGGG